rnacentral:rRNA from 1 species
GACGAACGCUGGCGGCGUGCUUAACACAUGCAAGUCGAACGGAAAGGCCCUGCUGUUGUGGGGUGCUCGAGUGGCGAACGGGUGAUUAACAAGUGAGUGACCUGCCCUUGGCUUUGGGAUAACGUCAGGAAACUUGGGCUAAUACCGGAUAGGAGCUCCUGCUGCAUGGUGGGGGUUGGAAAGUUUAGGCGGUUGGGGAUGGACUCGCGGCUUAUCAGCUUGUUGGUGGGGUAGUGGCUUACCAAGGCUUUGACGGGUAGCCGGCCUGAGAGGGUGACCGGCCACAUUGGGACUGAGAUACGGCCCAGACGCCUACGGGAGGCAGCAGUGGGGAAUAUUGCACAAUGGGCGGAAGCCUGAUGCAGCAACGCCGCGUGCGGGAUGACGGCCUUCGGGUUGUAAACCGCUUUCGCCUGUGACGAAGCGUGAGUGACGGUAAUGUGUAAAGAAGCACCGGCUAACUACGUG